rnacentral:lncRNA from 1 species
UUCGAAAUACGAGUAAUUGGUCGGUACUCAGUCAACGAUCUUCAAUAAAUUAAUUAAUAAUUAAUUAAUUAUAAAUUAAUAAAUAAAUAAAUUAAGUAAUUAUAAAUAAUUAUAAAUAAUAAAUAAUAAAUUAUUAAAUUAUUUUAUUAUUUAAGCAAUAAAUAAUAAUUUAAAUAUAUUAAUUAAAUUAAUUUAUUAUUUAACAUUAUAAUUAAAAUUAUUUUUAGACUUUAAUUAACCUUAUUCUCACCUGAGAACAAGCUUGUUAAUUCUAGAGAAAAGGUGGAACAGCAGUUACAGCCUUAUACCGGUUUAUUCAAAAAACACAACUACUGUUCUCGGGUACCAAAUGCAACAUUUGGGAACAAAGGGAGGAAUAAGGG